ACGGGUGAGUAACGCGUGGUCAACCUACCGUUGAGUGGGGGAGUAACUAGCCGAAAGGUUAGCUAAUACCGCAUACGUCUCCGAGGGGCGAUCCCUUGGCGAUAAAAGGAGCAAUCCGCUCGAUGACGGGACCGCGUCCCAUUAGCUAGAUGGUGGGGUAACGGCCUACCAUGGCACCGAUGGGUAGCUGGUUUGAGAGAGCGACCAGCCACACUGGGACUGAGAAACGGCCCAG
rnacentral:rRNA from 1 species